rnacentral:lncRNA from 1 species
AAUGGUCAUGAAGAUUGAUCAAUUGGUCCUAUAAAUUGAGAAGAAGAAAUCAGAACACAGGGAGGCGAUUUUGGAGGAACAGAGAGAAGAGAAAAACCAAAAAAUCUCUUUUUUUUCAUCACUUUUCCAAAAUCCGAAAUUGACUCAAACACCUUCCAAACUUCAAUCUUCUUCACCCAAAAGCCUCUAAACACUUCCAGUAGCUUGAAACAACAAUAAAAACGAAGGAAAACCUUUCAAGAGGAGCUUACUCAAAGUUCAAAAUAGCAAAGAGAAGAGUAGGUGUUAACCCACCAAAACAAAG